GACGAACGCUGGCGGCGUGCUUAACACAUGCAAGUCGAACGGAAAGGCCCUGCUUUUGUGGGGUGCUCGAGUGGCGAACGGGUGAGUAACACGUGAGUAACCUGCCCUUGACUUUGGGAUAACUUCAGGAAAUUGGGGCUAAUACCGGAUAGGAGCUCCUGCUGCAUGGUGGGGGUUGGAAAGUUUCGGCGGUUGGGGAUGGACUCGCGGCUUAUCAGCUUGUUGGUGGGGUAGUGGCUUACCAAGGCUUUGACGGGUAGCCGGCCUGAGAGGGUGACCGGCCACAUUGGGACUGGGAUACGGCCCAGACUCCUACGGGAGGCAGCAGUGGGGAAUAUUGCACAAUGGGCGGAAGCCUGAUGCAGCAACGCCGCGUGCGGGAUGACGGCCUUCGGGUUGUAAACCGCUUUCGCCUGUGACGAAGCGUGAGUGACGGUAAUGGGUAAAGAAGCACCGGCUAACUACGUG
rnacentral:rRNA from 1 species